CCUAACCACUGGAUGGCCAGGGAAUUCCCUCACGAAAGUAUUUUAAUUUUAAUUUCUUUUAAAAUCAGAAGAAAAAUAUGAAUAUAAUAAUGAAUAUAAAAUAAUGAAUCCAGCUUCUUUAUACCAAUGCAAUUGUAAAAGAGCGUUUUUAAUAUUUUUUACAAAGGUGGGGCCCAUGAAAGUCAUAAGCAGCCCUGCAUCCUUGUCUUCCUCACCAGGUGAGGGUUCCGAAAGCCUGCAACUGCUGACUUGUCGGGAAGGAUCCCCUUCCUUCUCGUUGUUGUCAGGAAAGCUGGCAGUAACCCUACCAACAACUUGGAUUUUCUGUCUCUUGUUACAGCUGGGCCGGCAGGGCCUUGCUGCAGGUGCCCACCUGCAGCACAGGCACCUUCUUGGGAGUUUCGUUUUCCCUUACGGUGCCUCUUUGAAGUGGUGUCAGUGUGAUGAGGAAACUGAGGCUCUGAGAGGAAUAACUAACCCAAGCCUGCAAAGAGGCAGAGCGGCGGUUCCAACGCAGGCUUGUCUGCCUCCAAAGACCCCAUGUCCUGUUUCCUCUGCCCCAGGGACUGUGAGCCCCCCACAGGCCAGGAGUCCCUGCGUCACCUGCCUUGUGUGACACCAGCAUGUCAUCAGGCCCAGAGGGCCCUUUGGGGUGUCCAGAGGUAACGGUGAAGGGCAAAGAAGGGUCUGUGUGUGUUUAUUGAUUAAAAGGAGGUUGUGACGUUCUGUUGACACGGCUCGGCCCUGGUCCAUCGCAUCCCUCUUCCCUGCAUUAGGCUGUAAAAGUGCAGCCAAAGUAAUUCCUUGUCUUCCCCAAACCAAGGAGGACAAAAUCCCGAACACCUCAGGCGAGGCUAUCUCACGACACUCACCACCGUCUGAGAAGAUGCCACACAGGGGCUGCACUGGGGAAAGCGCCUCUCCCGUUCUUGCCCAAAUCCACAGCGGGGUCCUUCUUUCCACUGGGGAUAUGCCUUCAUCUGAAAGGCCUUGAAUUCCUGGGACAUGGGGCACACCCAGCCCCAGAUGUAAGUGCAGAAGCAAAUCCCUUGGCGAGCGAGACAGCCUCUCUGGGCUCCCCCACAUUCCCAGGGUGGGGGAUGUGACUCUGCCUCCCACUUCAGGGUGCAAAGCUGGGCAGCUCCACAGAGACCAGCCCCCAAAACAUCCCAGAGCCUGAAGCUCAACACGAUGGCUGGGGAGGAAGCAAAACCUGAGAAAGGAUCCUGGUGAGUUAAGGCAGUUACACCAACUGGUUGGGAGCACAGGUUUGGCACCAGGCGGCCUGGUCACCAUUUUCUGGCUGUGUGACCUUGGGUGAUUAAAUUAACCUCUCUGUGCCACAGUUUUCUCUCCUAGAAAAAACAAGAAUAAUAGCGUGUACCUCAUAGAGUGGUGGUUGUGAGCAUUCCGUUAGUUAAUACGUGUGAAGGGCUCAGGGCAGGACCAAUAAACAGUAGCUGCUGUUAUCAUCAUCAUCAUCUUUACCAUUAAUAUGGUCAGAGCGGCCCAGGGAAGCAGGAGGGUUGGGUCCUCUCCCUGCUCUGCCAGUGAUUGUCUGUGCGACUUUGGACAACACACUUUCUCCCCUCUCCCUGGCAGUCUUGCUAUCUAUGAAAUGAGUAGUGUGGGCCAACGUGUAGCUCUUAACCAGGGAAAAGCAUCAGAAUUACCCGUAGGCUUUUGCAACAUAGACUUCUGGGCUCUAUCCCCAGAAAUUCUGAUUCAGUGGGUCUGGAUCUGGCCCAGGGACCUGUGUUAAGAGUAGAAUCUCCACUGGUGGUUCUGAUACACGAGCCGGGUUAGGAACCACUGGACCUUCCUGGGCCUAAAGGACAUUGUUCCUGAAGUGAUCAGUCCCCCUCCUGCGGACCCAUUAGCCCAGGUGGCGCCAUUGGCAAGGGCGAGCCCCCUGCGCCACUGCGAAUGCUGAGUCUGUCACCUGGGUGGGGGGUCUCGCUUCAUGGGAUGUGGCAGGCCAGCCCCCAGUUCAGCAGGAAGGCUGUGAUGGCCUGGAGAGCAGCCAUAUGGUGUGAGUGGGUCCAGCACGUCUAGGGGUUUCAUCCAGCAGAUGUUCAGUGAGCAUGGCAUUUGCAAAUGGUAGGCAAAGCAGUUGUGAAAAGGGGGUCCCUUCUGGCCACAUGGUACUUGGGAACUAAUCCUACCCCCAGGUAACAGGAUAUUCUCAGUGUAACUUUGCACUGUUUCUGAAGUGUGGUUGAGAAGGGGCUGGGGGUGUGGAUGGAUGUCAGCCCCACAUUCCUGUGGAGCCGGGGAGAGGAUUUUGGCUGCUUUUGAUAAGAAAAACCUCAAAGGAGCUUUAUCAUCACAAAGAGUCCAUCUCCUUGGGCACUGGUGGGGCCCCAUCUUCCCCCACUGGAGUUCAUCCCACUGCCCAGCGCCCCCCCGCAGACCCCUGCCUGGCACACUGACCCGGCUCCUUGCCCCUUCGCCACAUCUCCAUUCCCUUCUCUGAUGGUCGGAACCAGCCAGGACACUAGGAGACCUUGGCCCUGUCUCUCUCCCAGGGCUGAGUAGCAGGACAGCCUCUCUCCAUCCAUCCCUUUUAUCUUCCUUCUUGCCUCCAACCCCAGAUGUUCCCUUUGUGAAAUAAAUUGGAUUUGUGUUUUUCUCUUUGAAGAACACGCUCUGUAGUAUAACCUGCUUCCUCAAGGUAGGCACAGCUUCUGACUGACCCUUACAUCCAGUGCCAGCACUGGGCCGCAAUACAGAUGCUGGAAAUGGGCAGGUGAGCAAACCAGUUGCUCCUGUCCUGAGACCCGAUCAUGGGCAGUGGCACCGUGCAGCCCCCCCGUGUGGAGAGCAGAGGCCGGCAGGCUGCUGGGCACAGGCUUGCUAUAGAAUCUCAGUGGUUAUUAUAGCUUACGCAUUUAACCACUUCAAUUUGGCGUAUGACUUGAGGUGCUGGGUAAGCAUCUUGUCAACUUCAACACAGCUGACAAAGUUAUGACAUGAAUGUUUAGACUUUGCAGUUUCCCCCGACCUCCAGCUGAUCCUGUGAAAAUGUCUCCUUCCAGAGAGCUGAUUUGUGCCCCAGAUUUUCCCAUCUCAGCGAGAAACGUCUCUUUGCAAGGUAAAAUAGAAAUUCGUUGUCAUUCUGAUACUCUGAUUUUGUGUUCCUGGCGAGGGAGGCAUAUUCUGUGUCCGGUUUGUUGCUGACUUUCAAGGUUGGUGUCCCAAGGGACGGAGCGAUGGGGAAGGACGUAUAAGGAUGGCCGGAGACGCUCUCAUUUUUAAGCUACUCUUCUCAGACACUAAACCUUGAAACGUGGGAUUUUCUCUCUUAAGGCUGUCAUUCUUCAUGCCUCUUCUCAGUUGGAGAGUAAUGAAGUUUGAACAAAUCCUUUUUUCCGUGUUGGAAUCAUCUGAGUAUGAAAAUCCUUUUCUACCCUUAAAAUUACUCCAUCUCUUUUUUCCUUUAAAUAAAUAAAUAAAUAAAUGUAGUAUAUGCCCAUUGUAGGGAAAUUAGAAAUUCCAAAUAAGAACCAGAAAGAAAGGCUCCCGAAGUUCCAUCACUCAGAGGUGACCCAUAGUUUUGUGUGUCUCUCCAGUUAUGUCCCCAUAUAAAUGAAUAGAGAUAAAUAUGUAUUUUUAAAUAAAUGGAAUCAUAUGAUAAAUACUGUCUUGUGACCUGCUUUUUCACUUAACAGCAUUUUGUGAUCACCUUUUCAAGCUGUUAAACACUAAACAACUAUAUUGUCGUACUUAAUGGCUACGUCGUAGUCUAUUGUAUGGACAGACUAUAUGUGUAUAUAUGUACAUAUACACACGUGUACAUAUAUAUAUAUAAUGUGUAUGUUCACACACAUUAUAUAUAUACACAUACAUUUUGUAUAUUUUUUUCUUAUCCUAUUACUUUACAUUUAGGUUAUUUCUGAUUUUUUUUUUUUUUUUGCCAUUCUAGAAUCUUUCUAAUUCAGUUCCCUAAUCUUUGCAUACUUGUCCUAAUGUUUUCUUAAGAUAAGUUUUUAGUACAGAACUAGCUAACAUGUUCAACUGUUUACCACAUGCCACUCUACUGAGUGCUUUAAAUAUGUUAUUUAUUGAAUCCUACAAAUAAUUCUCUACAGAAAUAUCUACAUUUUACAGAUGAGGACACUGAGGCCCAGAGUGGUUAUGUGCUUUGGCCAGGGUCACACAGCUGGCAAACUGCAGAGCCAGGAUUGGAACCCAAGCUCUUUGAUCCUUUUCCUUUUCAUGGAAAAGUUUAAGUCUGCAUGGCCUUCCACUGAAUGGUUUAAAGGUACCUGUUCCCUACUUUGUCUCCUCCAGCUCUUUACUCUGUGACUGCCAUACUUGAGGCCUGGCCUCUCGGAGUCCUGUCACACCCACAAUUGCAUAAUAGGAACAGGAAAGGAAGAAUUGGUGGUGUCUGUGUCAUGCCACUAUGAUGUAGAUGUGGUUCUCUGUCCCUGGGAGGUAGCUUCUUGGGAGCCAUCCAGAGCAAGGAAGAUGAGGUGACUGGAGGCCCACUUUAGGGAAGCUGUGAGGUCUCAGCAGGGUUGGCCGGCCUGCAGGCUGGGCUGAGGGAGCGGAAAUGCCAAUGUAGAAAGCCAUCACACGCAGCAGAGAUUUCUGAAGCGCUAAAAUCAGCCCAUUCAAGGCUCUGGCCUCUGGACCUCCCAUCACAUAGCCAGUUGGCCUAUCAGUGCUCCAUGCAGAGUCCAGGGAAGACAGCGACAAACUGUUAAGAGGCAGAUGUUGGGAAACAAGCGCUGGGAGCAGAAAGGAAGAGGCCUCCAGCCCCUGCCCCGAUGCAGGCUCUCAGCUUCCGCUUCUUAUCUGCGGGUGACUGGGAUGGACCACGUCAGAAGUCUCAGACCAACUAUAGAGAAGCUGUUUUUGUUCAUUUCUCUGUGAAGCAUUGGAUGCUGUAAACAGGUGGUUCCUUUGAGAGACUAGCUCACAUUCCCCAAUGCUGCCCAGCCUCAAGCAGCUCUAGCCUCCCAUCUGAGAGCUGCUUUUAGGAGUCGGAGCCUGAACCAUGCAUUGUCACAUCCUGCUAAUUUGUUGUCACUCUCCAGACUGGGACCCCAAUAAACUCUGUUUCUAGAAAGUAGGUCUCUGCCUACUGCUGUGGAGAUUCAAAACCUGGGUUUGAAUUUUGCUUUGCCAUUUGUUAUUAUCAUCACAUUGGGCAAAUCAUUCAGCUUCCCUGAAUUUGUUUCCUCAUGUGUAACAUGGGCAUAAUACCAUCUCACCUGGUUGUGGUGACAGCACACAAAAGCACCUAACUUCGUGCCAGGAGCACUGUAGUAAUAACCCCCUCUCUCCCCAUCUCUCUGUUCCCCACCCCACCUUAUUUAUGAGAUAUAUAGUAGAAAGAACACUGGAUUGAGUCAGGCAGGAGGACUCUGUGAUCCUAGGUCAGAAAUUUACCUCUCAGACCUCAGUAUCCUCAUCUGUAAAAUGGGGAUACCAUUUCCUAACUCUGGCCAGCCUCAAAGGGUUAGGGUUGGAAGGAUUAAACAAGAAGAAUCAUAUGACUAUUUUUUAAAUGUAAAAUGUUGGACAACGGCAUAUGUGAUCUUAGAACUGGGGUGGUGGGGAGUUCAAUCCCCAGACAGUACCAAAGAGCCACUGUCUUGGAAAGUAUCUAAGAAAGUCCCUGGUGAAUUUCUUACUCAUUCAGCAUCACCUGGGGCUUGGACACUUGCAUGUUCCUGAGCCCAGGAACAUGGGAAUCUGAAGCCCAUGCACUUCACCAGGGCUCUGUAAGGCUCUUUAGUUGUGUCAGUCAAUCAGACAUGGUUGCUGCCCUGACCUCUUGGUUACAGUAAAUGUCCUUUCAAGUAUGAGAGCCUGAGAUUGGCGGUUGGGGGGACAGUGCAUGAGAGUUCCAGUUGUUCCACAUCCUCACCGGUGCUUAAUAUUGUCAGAUUGUCAGUCUUUUUAAUUUCAGCCCUUCUUGGGGUGGGGCAGGGAGACACUAUCUUCUUCGAAUUCUUGAAAUGUAUUUAUUCACUCUGUACUUUUGUUCAUUCCUCACUCUAGGCUAAGCAUGAGAGAGAACAGAGAUGAAUAAUCAUGGUGUGUGCUGCCCCAGGCUUGCGUCAGACAGCUGGGGUAUGAGUCUAGCCACUUCCCAGCUUUACUAACCUUGGACAAAUUCAUCUCACUGAGCCUUGGUUUCCUCAUCUGUAAGAUGGGGUUGGUACCUCAAAGAAAUGUGACGGUUAACUUCAAUGACUUAUGUAGAAGGCCUGGCCUGCACAGAUGCUCAGUGAAUGUUAGCUGUGACUUGUUAUCCAUAUGUUUUGCCUG